AACGCACCUUGCACUUGCAGAGUCUAUCUGCAAGUAUACCUGUUUGAGUAUCAUGCACAUUUAUCCAAGCGGCUUCGGUUGAUUGGGAGGUGAGCUUCAGCGGCGCAAGCUGGUGUUGCUUGAAAUGCAGCGAGACGCGAGGACGACGCGGUCGUGCUCCGACGUGAGGAUGUUUGCGGUGCCUUUGCGGCGCAGCAAAGUAAUCACAACGGACGCGGACGCAGCAUCCGCACAACGCGCCUGCAACAUCUACAUUCGUUAUGAGUGUAAGUGUGUACAGUGUACCAAAUGUGAUCUCAAAUCAGGCAAGAAGACCCGCCGAACUUAA
rnacentral:misc_RNA from 1 species